rnacentral:lncRNA from 1 species
GGUCAUCUCAUGAUGUUCAGGGUCUUGCUGCUCCUGUUUGCCGUGGCUGGUCUCCAUGCAAGACCACUGCACCGAUUCCCAAAUGGUAAAUUAAAACCAAUUGGGCCACAAAUGGUCCAAGAUGAACACAGGGAUAGCUCAGUUCUGAAGCACAUGAACACUGAUGUGAAACCCAAGAAGCAACUACCAGUUCCCGCUGAGUUCUGCAGACAGGGAACAGAACCUUCCAGACGCUUCCUGAUGGACCUGAACACUGGGAUGCUCAAGCGUGGAGUUGGCAAAGUGAACGGAAAAGUUUCAGGAUUGGAUGAGCUCAAACAAGGCACUGAGAACCAGCUGCACACCCUGCAAGAGCUCAGAAUGCGUCCCAUGAUGAGAUCGCAGUACAGCGCUCAGAGCGAAAAACACGAGCAGAGAGCGAUCCCUGCCGAGGUGUACAGAAAAGGCACUGAAAAUUCCAGAAAUGUCCUGAUGGACCUGAACACCGGUCUGCUCAAAGAACACAUGAACAAGAUGGACAGGAGAGUAGUGGCAGCUAAAUGGGAAGUGGUUUCUGAGCAUGAGGAUAUAAGAAGCCAAGACUCUUCUGAACAUAAGGAGAACCACAAAGCAGUUCCUGUUGAGAUCCGCAGACAGGGAACAGAACCUUCCAGACGCAUCCUGAUUGACUUGAACACUGGGAUGCCCAAGGAGGAACUCAGCGAAAUGAACAGAAGAGUUUCUGGCUUCUACAAUCCACCAGCUAUUGAGAAGAGGCAAGGAACAGAACCUUCCAGACGCUUCCUGAUGGACAUGGACACUGGGAUGCUCAAGCACGAAUUAAGCGAAAUGAACAGAAGAGUUUCCGGCUUCUACAAUCCUCCAACUUAUGAGAUGAGGAAGGGAACCCAGAAUUCUCGCGCCACUCUGGUGGAUCCCAGAACUGGACAACUGCUGGAAUCUCUAACAGAGCUCCAGAGGAGCGCAGCGCCAUUGGAUGAGUUCAGACAAGGCACUGAGUACCAGCCAUUCAUCCUACAGGAGCUCAGACGGAACAAACAAGACACUGAACCUUCCAGAAACCUCCUGAUGGACCUGAACGCCGGUCUGCUCAAAGAACACAGGAAUGAGAUGGACAGGAGAGUAGGGGGCUCAGCUAAAUGGGAAGUGGUUUCUGAGCAUGAGGACAUAAGAAGCCAAGACUCUUCUGAACAUAAGGAGAACCACAAAGCAGUUCCUGUUGAGAUCCGCAGACAGGGAACAGAACCUUCCAGACGCAUCCUGAUUGACUUGAACACUGGGAUGCCCAAGGAGGAACUCAGCGAAAUGAACAGAAGAGUUUCUGGCUUCUACAAUCCAGCAGCUAUUGAGAAGAGGCAAGGAACAGAACCUUCCAGACGCUUCCUGAUGGACAUGGACACUGGGAUGCUCAAGCACGAAGUUAGCGAAAUGAACAGAAGAGUUUCCGGCUUCUACAAUCCUCCAGCUUAUGAGAUGAGGAAGGGAACACAGAAUUCUCGCGCUACUCUGGUGGAUCCCAGAACUGGACAACUGCUGGAAUCUCUAACAGAGCUAAAGAGGAGCGCAGCGCCAUUGGAUGAGUUCAGACAAGGCACUGAGUACCAGCCGUACAUCCUACAGAAGCUCAGACUGAACAAACAAGACACUGAACCUUCCAGAAACCUCCUGAUGGACCUGAACGCCGGCCUACUCGAACACCAAAAUAAGACGGACUCUUCUGAACAUAAGCAAGGAGGAACUCAGCGAAAUGAUACAGAAGAGUUUCCGGCUUCUACAAUCCAGCAGCUAUUGAGAAGAGGCAAGGAACAGAACCUUCCAGACGCUUCCUGA